CGAAGGGAGCUAGCGUUACUCGGAAUUAUUGGGCGUAAAGCGUGCGUAGGCGGCUUUGUAAGUCAGAAGUGAAAGCCUGGGGCUCAACCUCAGAAUUGCUUUUGAUACUGCAAAGCUAGAGUAUCAUAGGGGAAAGCGGAAUUCUUAGUGUAGAGGUGAAAUUCGUAGAUAUUAAGAGGAACACCGGUGGCGAAGGCGGCUUUCUGGGUGAAUACUGACGCUGUUGCACGAAAGCGUGGGGAGCAAACAGGAUUAGAUACCCUGGUAGUCCACGCCCUAAACGAUGAGUGCUAGAUAUCAGAACUUGAUUUUGGUGUCGUAGUUAACACGUUAAGCACUCCGCCUGGGAAGUACGGUCGCAAGACUA
rnacentral:rRNA from 1 species